CUCUUAUUGCUUGGGACUUUCUAGGGGUUCAGGGACUUUCUCCCAGGACCUGGGACAGAGACCGGGUCUUUCUUUGGGCCCGGUCCCAGACAAUGACGAAUGGAAACACAGUGGGGAACUUCAUGAUGGAGCAGCUCCCGUGUGGGGCCACCCUGGGUUCUGUGUCCUGCAGGCUUCCAGAUCCCUCCGAGAGGAGGUUGUGCUGAUUAGAGCAAGGAGCCCACCGGGCUGAAGGUGGAGAGUGCGAGUUCUUCUUCUGAAUGUUUGCAUUCCUGAGAGAAGCCCCAGGUCCCUGAGAAGACCUGCUGGGUGGUGGAAGACCAUCACGAAGCUGGAGAGAAAGGACAUGCGACUGCAGCCCAGGUGGGAUGAUAUUAAAAAUAUCCAGCUCUCAGGACAGCGGAUCAACUGCCCUAGAAAGGAUUCUGCCAGUGCCGGAAAGAAGGUUCCUGGAGCCCCUGCUGGGCCUGAGCUUCAGCUUUUAGUUGCUGGAUGGUGGUGAGGCACUCUGGUGGGGCCUUGUCUGCUAGAGCCUGCUGCAUGCCCGGGCGUCCCUGACUGCUCCGACGUAUGUCUGGCUUGGCACUUGCUCUGGUGCCACUGCCCAUGGCUUCUGAGGACUUUGCUCACUGUCAGGCAGUUCCUUUGGAUGUAACUACCCGAGCCUUGGUCCUUCCUUCCCCUUCCAGGAACCACAGCACCCGGACAGCGAAGGCUGAGUUCACAGAACAGAGUUC